AGAUAAGGUUUCGCAUGAGUCCCCUAGAAGACGACUAGGUUGAUAGGCCAGAUGUGUAAGCUCAGCAAUGAGUUCAGCUUACUGGUACUAACGGACAAUAGACUUGACCAC
rnacentral:rRNA from 1 species